rnacentral:tRNA from 1 species
GAAUGUAUAGCUCAAGUGGUAGAGUGUAUGCUUAGCAUAUGCAAGUUUCUGGGCUCAAACCCCAGUACCUCCU